rnacentral:rRNA from 1 species
UCGGGAAUUUUGGGCAAUGGGCGAAAGCCUGACCCAGCAACGCCGCGUGAAGGAUGAAGUAUUUCGGUAUGUAAACUUCGUAAGAAUAGGAAGAAUAAAUGACGGUACUAUUUGUAAGGUCCGGCUAACUACGUGCCAGCAGCCGCGGUAAUACGUAGGGACCAAGCGUUGUUCGGAUUUACUGGGCGUAAAGGGCGCGUAGGCGGUGUGUCAAGUCAGUUGUGAAAUCUCCGAGCUUAACUCGGAACGGUCAACUGAUACUGUCACACUAGAGUACAGAAGGGGCAAUCGGAAUUCUUGGUGUAGCGGUGAAAUGCGUAGAUAUCAAGAGGAACACCUGAGGCGAAGGCGGCUUACUAGACGAGAUCUGACGCUCAGGCACGAAAGCGUGGGGAGCAAAAAGGAUUAGAUACCCCCGUAGUCCCUGAGCGGGCUGGCAAGGCGCAU